GUUGUGGACGAACGAACGAAGCUUCUAGUUCAGCCAGCAACGCUGAUAGUUGUGUUUCAGGCUUGGAUCCUGUUGGUCCAUAAGCGAGAGUUGUUCGUCGGAAUGACAAACCUCUCGUCCUAUGAUCCAAUGUUAAUCCGGGAUCAAGAGAGGAUAGCGAAUCUAAACUACAUCUACAACUGCAGCGACAUAGAGGCUCUGUGGAUGCUUCGAAUGAAAAGAGUGCCUUUCGCCAGGCUUGUGCAGAUGUUCAGAAGCAUGGGGCUGCUAGAAGAUAACAUUCACACCACUGUGGAAGAGCAAGUAGCCAUGUUCCUCCAUACUGUUCGUCAUAACCAGAUGUUCAGGGUUGUACACAACACCUUCAGGAGAUCAAUGGAGAUCAUCUCCAGGUACUUCAAGCAAGUGUUGUAUGAUGUUGGAGAACUCAGAGGAGAGAUGAUCAUGCCACGAACUGGCCGGACUCCUACCAAGAUUCGUACUAGCCCAAGAUGGUAUCCAUACUUCAAGGUGAGCACUGACAGUAUGUAG
rnacentral:rRNA from 1 species